CCAGUGGUUGUUCAGUGGUAGAAUUCUCACCUUCCAUGCAGGAGACCUGGGCUCGAUUCCCUGCCAAUGCA
rnacentral:tRNA from 1 species